rnacentral:rRNA from 1 species
UUUGAUCAUGGCUCAGAUUGAACGCUGGUGGCAGGCCUAACACAUGCAAGUCGAGCGGCAUCGAGUGAUCGCAGUUUACUGAGUUCAUGUCGGCGAGCGGCGGACGGGUGAGUAAAGUCUGGGAAUCUGGCCGAAGGAGGGGGAUAACUGCUGGAAACGGCAGCUAAUACCGCAUGAAGUCGCGAGACCAAAGUGGGGGACCUUCGGGCCUCACGCCUUCGGAUGAGCCCAGAUGAGAUUAGCUGGUAGGUAAGGUAAAGGCUUACCUAGGCGACGAUCUCUAGCGGGUCUGAGAGGAUAGCCCGCCACACUGGAACUGAGACACGGUCCAGACUCCUACGGGAGGCAGCAGUGGGGAAUAUUGCACAAUGGGCGAAAGCCUGAUGCAGCCAUGCCACGUGUGUGAAGAAGGCCUUCGGGUUGUAAAGCACUUUCAGCGAGGAGGAAGCGAUAAAUGCGAAUACC